UUUUUUUAAAAUUGUAUACUUAAAUAUCUUUUUGGCGUUAUAAUUUUUUUUUUUUUUAACGAUACAAAUAUCCCAUCUGUAAGUUCAAACGAAGUCAUAGAAACGGCAUGCAUAUAUUUUUAUUUUAAAUAAAGUGUAAAGAAGAAAAUAACGUUGAAAAAAAUGUUUAAUUUAUUAUCAGCUCAAAAAUAAGCUUAGAUUUUCAUUCAGGCAGAUAUUUCGCUACCCUGCCUGCAGCAUUAGGACCCUCUUAAAUAUCCUUCCCUGUACGCUGUGCGAUCCUUUUCAUGCUGAGGAUGCCACGGUACCUCAGGUAAUGGUGAAUGUAGUUUACUUUUAUUUAAUUAUUAUAUUAUGUACCCUAAAACAUAGUUUAGUGCUUUAUAUGUAUGUUUAGUUUAAGACGCUGACGUGGUCCGUGUUAACGCUCAUUCAAGAGCUCCGCUGCAGCGCGUGGUCGAGAUCAACACGCUGACGCGAAUAUGACCUGAUGAUAUUACGGUAAUUGUUUUGCAGAUCAUAUCUACUCGAACUGAACAAUGAUGUUUUGGGAAACCAAAUUUGGAAGAACGUGCCGAAGCUGCAGCAGUGUCCCAGUUGGAUUCCAGCAGAAUGGUUCAUCGUGACAGUCGAUGACUACAGGGUUUUCAGCGAUGGGUUUGAAGCCAGUAUGGAUGUUGUCUCCAGCCCAUGAAGCUACAUAAGGUUGACGUGAUGCCAGAAUUAUGUGCCAACGAUGGGCAUAUUCCUCUGAAUGCACAGACCUGUCACUCUGAUGGAGGUUUAUGCCAUGGCAGAAGAGUUGUGGUGACCGGUUUGGAGCACAACGCUGAGCUGUCAAGCUGUGUAGUACACUUGUUUGUGCCACUGUAUAUCAUUCUCAGAACAGUUUGAUUAAGUAACUGCUUGUUUUUGACUAAUAAAAUCACUUACAGCUCAAUAUUAAGUUGCUGG
ensembl:lncRNA